GAGUUCCCUUCGGGGACAUUGGUGACAGGUGGUGCAUGGUUGUCGUCAGCUCGUGUCGUGAGAUGUUGGGUUAAGGCCCGCAACGAGCGCAACCCUUGUCUUUAGUUGCCAUCAUUAAGUUGGGCACUCUAGAGAGACUGCCAGGGAUAACCUGGAGGAAGGUGGGGAUGACGUCAAAUCAUCAUGCCCCUUAUGCUUAGGGCUACACACGUGCUACAAUGGGUAGUACAGAGGGUUGC
rnacentral:rRNA from 1 species